rnacentral:lncRNA from 1 species
UGUAUUUUAUAUAUAUGUUUGGUGUGAUGUUAAUUUUUUAUUUGCACUAUGUUUGUUUGUAUUGUGGCGAGUAGAAGAGCAGUGGCAGAGGAGUCAAUUGUUCAGCAGGUAGAAGUUGUUGAGCAGGAGCUCAUUGAAGACAAGUUGUGCCUUGACCACUUUUUACCCAAUAAUGUUCUUUAUUAUCACUUAUCAAUGCAUAGGCUUAAUUUUGAUGGGACCCAAUAUGUCACCUUAGACUGGUUAUCCUUUUACCUUGUUUACCCCUGAAUCAUUUGGGUAGUUUUGGUAUUACUCUAUAUGGUUUUGGGUUUAAUACUACAAUAUGUUCAUGUUCCAAUUAUUCUGUUAUUUUAUUUAUUAUCCAUGUCAAUAUCAUUAUUUUUAAUUGGAACAUGGAGCUUAACUUGAGAAACACGUGCCACCACGAGGGUGGAAUGGGACGCCAUUGGCUGGCUAACUAGGAAAGCUAGUGGAGGACUACCUUACCCGAUAAGGGCAAGGGCAAUAGAGGAGUAGGCGUGUAGGGAGGUUGCCGAGUUGAUUUUGCUGUGAUGGCGGUCAGACGGGGAUUCCUGCAUUCCUCUUCCUAGAAACUGUAGCGGGUUUUCUGAAGCAAUUGGAACUAGGUAAAGGCCUCCUAGUGUUACCCUGCCUCGCUUCCUUGGUAGAGGUGUAUGAGAGUCGCGAUCCCUUGGCAGAUGGGUAACAUGACUUGUGGAUACAGGGUACAACCUCUCAGAGUGUAAAACUGAUAUACUAGCCGUGCUCGCUGUCAUGAGCAGCUUAGGACUCUCGCAUGAUUAAUAUAUGGAACUAAAUUCAAUUUGUCAUUUGCAUUGCAUGGGAUUAUUUAUUAAUUUUGUUCUAUUCUUAUUAUGGUUUGGUAUUUACUUACAUCUAUUAAUUGCUAAUAAAAUUCGACCAACUUAUUAAAGGCAAUGUUCAGCUUUAACCCUUAUUGUUGAUCACCCUUACACAUCACAUGAACUCUCACCUUUGGUGAGUUCAUGCACAUUAUUCCCCACGACUUGUUGAGAUAUGAUCUUUUGUGAGCUCACUCUUGCGAUAUAUAAACCCCCCCACAGGUGAAGAGCAGGUGGUCGAAGAGGAGCCGCACAACGAGGAGUUUGACUUGAUCUAGGUGGCGUCUCCCAGUCAGCUUUAUAGCGCCAGGGAAAUAAUAUUUAGUUCGUUUUAUAUUUAUCAUUUAUUUUGUAAGACUUUCGCUAUGUAAUAAGUACAUUUAUGAUAUUUAUGAUAUUUAUC